rnacentral:rRNA from 1 species
UACGUAGGUGGCAAGCGUUGUCCGGAUUUAUUGGGUUUAAAGGGUGCGUAGGCGGCAUUUUAAGUCAGUGGUGAAAUACUUCAGCUUAACUGGAGGGGUGCCAUUGAUACUGGGAUGCUUGAGUACUGAUGAGGUAGGCGGAAUGGACGGUGUAGCGGUGAAAUGCUUAGAUAUCGUCCAGAACACCGAUAGCGAAGGCAGCUUACUAAGGAGUAACUGACGCUGAGGCACGAAAGUGUGGGGAUCAAACAGG